CCUACGGGAGGCAGCAGUGAGGAAUAUUGGUCAAUGGGCGGGAGCCUGAACCAGCCAAGUCGCGUGAGGGAAGACGGUCCUAUGGAUUGUAAACCUCUUUAGGCGGGGAGCAAUGCCGGGCACGUGUGCCCGGAGGGAGAGUACCCGCAGAAUAAGCAUCGGCUAACUCCGUGCCAGCAGCCGCGGUAAUACGGAGGAUGCGAGCGUUAUCCGGAUUUAUUGGGUUUAAAGGGUGCGUAGGCUGUGAGGUAAGUCAGCGGUGAAAUGCCCCCGCUCAACGGGGUGAAGUGCCAUUGAUACUGGCUUGCUGGAAUGCGGAUGCCGUGGGAGGAAUGUGUGGUGUAGCGGUGAAAUGCAUAGAUAUCACACAGAACACCGAUUGCGAAGGCAGCUCACGAAUCCGCGAUUGACGCUGAUGCACGAAAGCGUGGGUAUCAAACAGGAUUAGAUACCCGUGUAGUC
rnacentral:rRNA from 1 species